ACGAGACAAACACUGAAAAUGAAAGCAAAAAGGGCAGAGUAUACCAGAGUACAUAAAGCAUUUGCAGCAUGUACAUCUCUUUUUGUUUUCAUUCAUCACCUGUACAACACAGCAGCUCUUCGCAUACUUGCUUGAUGGCAGCCUUUUCCAGGACCGGUGGAAAAUCUUAUGUAAGAGUCAACAAGUGUCUGUUUGUCAUCAUCUCUCUGCUCUCUCUUGUUUAUGUCGCAAGUUCACUGAACGCCAAGGAUCAGAGGAUGUUUGAGCUGCUGAAGACAGCAAUAAAAGAAGCAGACAGACAGAAGGCAGAAGACAAGAAUAGAAAUGCAGCCAUCAAAAAUCUUUAUGAUCUCGCAAGUUCACUGACCAAAAACAGUCAACUGGACAUAUUCAAAGAAACCCUUCAGAAAGCAGUAGAAGAUGAAGAGAGACUGAAGGAAGAAUACAAGUACAAAAUGGCAGCGACUGCAAAAGAAUUCAGUGCACAAGUGAUGCAACUUAUUCCUCAAAUGGAACUAGUGAAGACGUUACCACACUCCCCGGCCCUGCUGGAAAUAAUCGACGCUGUGUGGCACGCCUUGAAGAACACCAGAAUUUACUUAGAGAAGAGCCUCGGUUUGCUGCAAGAAUAGAGAACUCUGAAAUGAAACUGUUUAAGGAGGAGCUUUUCGUUGUGUUCAUUUAGUUCUUGGUGCAGUACAUUUUAUGAAAUGUUAAUAUGAGUUUCUUUCCAUCUUGUUAUUUCCAAAUGACUUCAAACUGUCAUUUGAUCUACACCAAGACUAGAUUUUACAAAAUAAAAAGACCAACCAUAUAUUUGUGUUCAAAUUUUAGUAGAAAAUAAUAAAAAUAAGAAGAGGAUCCUGAAAGCAUUCUUGAAUACAUAUAUAUAUAUUUUAGUGCUGUCAAUAUAUUAAAAAAAUUAACUAAUUACUCUUACAGUUUUCUGUAAUUAAUUGCAAUUACUUGAUCAAUAGCCUGGUUGCAAUUACAAUUUUUUCAACUUUGUAUUUAAGCUUGUAACUGACAUUUAUGCAAUAUAAUGAAGUAAAUGCAGAAUAAACACAGAGAAUGUAUGCUUAAAUUCAAAGAGAAUUUGAAUAGUUUUCUUCAAUCUUCUCACACAGGUUCUCUCCUGUGAAAUACAAGUUUAAAAAACCUAUAUACUAAUAGGUAUACACUAUUAUACAAUAAGUAUACACUAAUAUAUAAUAUAUAUUAGUGCUGUCAAACAAUUAAAAUGUUUAAUCAGAUUCAUCACAGGGUUACUGUGGAUUAAUUUUGAUUAAUCACGAUUAAAUAUCAUUCAUUUUUAUUCUAUAUUAAUCGCAUUUCAUUUUGCAUGAGAAAACAGACUUGAGAAAAAAGGGAAAAUAUACAAACUUAACAUGUUUAUUGAACAUCUUCAACAUUCAUGUUAACAUAACACUGUAAACAUUUAUCCACCCUCUCUGUCACUCUUGGGGAGGCACUAUGUAAAGCGCAUGUUAUCAAUGAUAUUAAUAGGUCUGCAGUUUGUUGCAAUCCACUUGGCAAUUGUGUCAGUCAGUAUUUCCGAGGUCGACUUACUGAGUCCCCGAUGCUCCAUGAGUGGUUUGUUGCAAGCUGGGUGACACAUUAACCAAAGCCACAUUAGCAGCAUUCCCGACUAACGUGUGCUUCGCGUCAAUGUGAUAUUUUAAGCUGGAAGUGCUUCAGUGAAAAGAAAAUUCCUUCCUGCACAAUGUGCAUAAUACUUUAUGUCAGUCAACUGUUCAGUCUUGUUAUUUUUUUAAUACUCAAAUUUCCCAUCGAGAGGGCCAAUGUGUGUUUAUCAUCUUCCAUGUUGAGUUGAUUGGUUCAGCUGCCCGUCGUUACCAGAUCUACUGCUCAUUUGCGCAAGUGUGAAGGUAAUUCUACUUGGAAAAACUGCCCGAAAUGCAUUGGCACAAACAUUUCAGUGAUUUUGAGUCAUUCUGCACUUCAGAUGCGUUAAUUGCAUUAAAAAUUUUAAUCGCAUUGACCAUGAUGGCGG
rnacentral:lncRNA from 1 species